UAAGGAAUAUUGGUCAAUGGACGCAAGUCUGAACCAGCCAUGCCGCGUGAAGGAUGAAGGUCCUCUGGAUUGUAAACUUCUUUUAUCUGGGACGAAAACGGGAUUUUUAUCUCAAUUGACGGUACCAGAGGAAUAAGCACCGGCUAACUCCGUGCCAGCAGCCGCGGUAAUACGGAGGGUGCGAGCGUUAUCCGGAUUUACUGGGUUUAAAGGGUGCGUAGGUGGGCUUAUAAGUCAGUGGUGAAAUCUCCGAGCUUAACUUGGAAACUGCCGUUGAUACUAUAGGUCUUGAAUUAUCUGGAGGUAAGCGGAAUAUGUCAUGUAGCGGUGAAAUGCUUAGAUAUGACAUAGAACACCAAUUGCGAAGGCAGCUUACUACAUAUAAAUUGACGCUGAGGCACGAAAGCGUGGGGAUCAA
rnacentral:rRNA from 1 species